rnacentral:rRNA from 1 species
AUUGAACGCUGGCGGCAGGCCUAACACAUGCAAGUCGAGCGAGCGGCGGACGGGUGAGUAAUGUCUGGGAAACUGCCUGAUGGAGGGGGAUAACUACUGGAAACGGUAGCUAAUACCGCAUACCAUCAGAUGUGCCCAGAUGGGAUUAGCUAGUAGGUGGGGUAACGGCUCACCUAGGCUACGAUCCCUAGCUGGUCUGAGAGGAUGACCAGCCACACUGGAACUGAGACACGGUCCAGACUCCUACGGGAGGCAGCAGUGGGGAAUAUUGCCCAAUGGGCGCAAGCCUGAUGCAGCCAUGCCGCGUGGGUGAGGAAGGCCUUCGGGUUGUAAAGCACGUUCAGCGGGGAGGCGUUACCCACAGAAGAAGCACCGGCUAACUCCGUGCCAGCAGCCGCGGUAAUUC